AGUGAACGCUGGCGGUAGGCCUAACACAUGCAAGUCGAACGGCAGCACAGUAAGAGCUUGCUCUUACGGGUGGCGAGUGGCGGACGGGUGAGGAAUACAUCGGAAUCUACUUUUUCGUGGGGGAUAACGUAGGGAAACUUACGCUAAUACCGCAUACGACCUACGGGUGAAAGCAGGGGAUCUUCGGACCUUGCGCGAUUGAAUGAGCCGAUGUCGGAUUAGCUAGUUGGCGGGGUAAAGGCCCACCAAGGCGACGAUCCGUAGCUGGUCUGAGAGGAUGAUCAGCCACACUGGAACUGAGACACGGUCCAGACUCCUACGGGAGGCAGCAGUGGGGAAUAUUGGACAAUGGGCGCAAGCCUGAUCCAGCCAUACCGCGUGGGUGAAGAAGGCCUUCGGGUUCUAAAGCCCUUUUGUUGGGAAAGAAAAGCAGCAGGUUAAUACCCCGCUGUUCUGACGGUACCCAAAGAAUAAGCACCGGCUAACUUCGUG
rnacentral:rRNA from 1 species